rnacentral:rRNA from 1 species
AGAGUUUGAUCCUGGCUCAGGAUGAACGCUAGCGGCAGGCUUAAUACAUGCAAGUCGAGGGGCAGCAGGAAUAGCAAUAUUUGCUGGCGACCGGCGCACGGGUGCGUAACACGUAUACAAUCUGCCUUUAACAGGGGGAUAGCCCGGAGAAAUCCGGAUUAAUACCCCAUAACAGUGAUCUUGGCAUCAAGGACACUUAAAAGCUCCGGCGGUUAAAGAUGAGUAUGCGUCUGAUUAGCUAGUUGGUGAGGUAACGGCUCACCAAGGCGACGAUCAGUAGGGGAUCUGAGAGGAUUAACCCCCACACGGAUACUGAGACACGGAUCCGACUCCUACGGGAGGCAGCAGUAAGGAAUAUUGGACAAUGCCCGCAAGGGUGAUCCAGCCAUGCCGCGUGCAGGAAGACGGCCCUAUGGGUUGUAAACUGCUUUUACACCGGAGAAAACCUCCCCUCGUGAGGGGAGCUGAUAGUAUGGUGAGAAUAAG